rnacentral:rRNA from 1 species
AUAAAAAAAAUUAUUAAUGUUUAGUAUAAAUAGUUUUUUAAUUAAAAUAAUAUAAAUUUAGUAUUUUUAUAGAAAAAUUUAAUUUUAUUAUAGUGAAUUAGUAUUGUGAAAGAAUUUUAAUUUAUAUUUAAAAGAAAAAUUUAUUUUUUGUACCUUGUGUAUCAGGGUUAAUUAAAUAUAUUUAAAAUUUUUAAUUUUCUCAAUUUUAAAAGAGUUAUUAAUUAAUAAAUUUUAAUGUGAAAUAAUUAAGUUUAAUUAAUUUAUAGAAAUGAAAUGUUAUUCGUUUUUAAAUGUAUUUAGUUUUUAAAGAAAUAUAUUUAAUUUAGAAAUUAAUAAAUAAAAUUAUUUAUUUAAUUAAUAAUUUAUUUUAAUUUUUAAUAUAUAAAGGGAUGAGCUUUUAUAUAAAAAUUUAUAAAUUUAUAAGAUUAAUUGAAAAUGUAGGAUUAAAAUUUUUUAUCAAUAAAAUUAUGUUAUUAUAGAUUUAAAGAUAAGCUAUUAUUUUUAUAUGUUUUAAUUUUUUAUUUAAAUAUUUAUUUUAAUAAUAAAAAUAAAGAAAUAAUGAUUAAAUUAGUAAAUAAAUUGUAAAUUAAUUAAUAUUUUAAUAAAGAUUAUAUAAAGGAAUUCGGCAAAUAUAAUUUUCACCUGUUUAUUAAAAACAUGUCUUAUUGAUAAUAAUUUUAGGUCUAACCUGCCCAUUGAGUAAUUAAAAGGCCGCGGUAAUUUGACCGUGCAAAGGUAGCAUAAUCAUUAGUUUUUUAAUUGAAAGCUGGAAUGAAAGGUUGAAUGGAAAAUUUACUGUCUCUAUUUAAUAAAUUGAAUUUUAAUUUUAAGUUAAAAAGCUUAAAUGAGAUUUAAAGACGAGAAGACCCUAUAGAGUUUAAUAAAUUAAAAUUUUAAUUUUAUUUUGAAUUCAUAAAUAUAAAUUUUUAUUUUAUUUAAUUGGGGUGAUUGAAAAAUUAAAUAAACUUUUUUUAAUAAAUAACAUUUAUAGAUGAAUAAAUGAUCCAAAAUUUUUGAUUGAAAGAUUAAAUUACCUUAGGGAUAACAGCGUAAUUUUUUUAGAAAGUUCAUAUUGAUAAAAAAGAUUGCGACCUCGAUGUUGGAUUAAAAUAAAUUUAUGGUGCAGUAGCUAUAAUAUUAAGUCUGUUCGACUUUUAAAAUUUUACAUGAUCUGAGUUUAAACCGGUGUGAGCCAGGUUGGUUUCUAUCUUAAAAAAAAUAUAAUAUUUUAGUACGAAAGGAUUAAAUAUUGAAAUUAAAUUUUAUGAUUUGAGUAAUAUU